rnacentral:sRNA from 1 species
UCGCUUGCAGUUUUCGGCUUACAAAGCCGGC